rnacentral:rRNA from 1 species
AUACGUAGGGAGCGAGCGUUGUCCGGAAUUACUGGGUGUAAAGGGAGCGUAGGCGGGAGUGCAAGUCAGAUGUGAAAUACAUGGGCUCAACCCAUGGGCUGCAUUUGAAACUGCAUUUCUUGAGUGAAGUAGAGGUAAGCGGAAUUCCUGGUGUAGCGGUGAAAUGCGUAGAGAUUGGGAGGAUCACCAGUGGCGAAGGCGACUUACUGGACUGUAACUGACGCUGAGGCGCGAAAGUGUGGGGAGCAAACAGGAUUAGAUACCCUGGUAGUCCACACUGUAAACGAUGAAUACUAGGUGUGGGGGGACUGACCCCCUCCGUGCCGCAGUUAACACAAUAAGUAUUCCACCUGGGGAGUACGAUCGCAAGAUUGAAACUCAAAGGAAUUGACGGGG